UUUUUUAUCGCAUCUUUCAGUCUGUCAAUAUCAAACGUUCAAUAAACAAUGCCAUGACUCCCUUUUAACUUCAGAUAAAGGAACAGGGUUGCAUGUUAUUUGAUUUCUUCAAAAAACAGUGAUGAGUUGUGCCAUUUCCCUUUUUUAUAUUUCCCUUGAAGAGCUAUUUCCAGACGAAGGUCAACCUGCGUGGUUUUCACGGGACCUUCCCAGCUUUCGAGCUUUUAUAUUAAAAGCCUUUUUUGUAGUGAUUUGUUUGCUUGCAUGUGUGGACGGCGCUGUCCCCCACGCCGACCCCCCGCUCGGAUUUUCCCGAAUGAUAUCAGCUCCUAAAAAGGGAGGGGACUUUCAAAAGUGAAAGUGAACGUGUAAUGUCGUUUAGGAGAGUUUGUCAGUGUGCUGGAGAAGUCGCACGGACAAGACGCCUGAGCACGAGUAAACCUGUAUUGUUUCUGUAACGGGAUGGCAUCCUACAGUCAUCUUGUUCUCCUCGUUUUUUUAAGUCUUAUUGACCUUUCAAAGGAGCAGCAGCAAUGGCUGUGUGAUGGUUAUUUACAGGACAUGAAAAACACAUCUAUGACUGAGCGCAUUUCCCUAAUAAGUGCCAACAGUUCCAAGGAAGUCAUAGAAUGCACUUUAUUGAAAAUGGUAAAAGGCAAAAGCUGUAGCGAAAAAAACCUUUUCGCUUGCAUUCUAUCAGAUUGCUUUGAAGGCAUUAACCCGAAUAAAACAUGUGGUCAGAAAACUGCAAUGAAUGAAACAAUCUAUAUGUUACACUUCUGGUGUUUGCUGGUCAAACUAACCAACAAAUCCAUUGAAUUUAAAAAAGGUAAGAAACAAUCAUUCCUAGAGUUUAUUAUUAUUAGAGCUUAUUAUUUGAGGUGUUGAUAAAACCAGACUGCUCUGUGAGUGAAACUAAGACAGAGAGCAUGUGUUUAUGUGCAUCAAAGAAUGUUGAAGAGAAUCAGCUAUGGCACUAUGAACUAUGGUCAGAUUGGUCAGAACUGAAUUUGGAUGU